rnacentral:rRNA from 1 species
GACGAACGCUGGCGGCGUGCUUAACACAUGCAAGUCGAACGCUGAAGACCUGGCUUUUGUUGGGCUGGAUGAGUGGCGAACGGGUGAGUAACACGUGAGUAACCUGCCCUCUUCUUUGGGAUAACGCCCGGAAACGGGUUCUAAUACUGGAUAUUCACUGAUCUUCGCAUGGGGGUUGGUGGAAAGGUUUGUUCUGGUGGGGGAUAGGCUCGCGGCCUAUCAGCUUGUUGGUGGGGUGAUGGCCUACCAAGGCUUUGACGGGUAGCCGGCCUGAGAGGGUGACCGGUCACAUUGGGACUGAGAUACGGCCCAGACUCCUACGGGAGGCAGCAGUGGGGAAUAUUGCACAAUGGGCGAAAGCCUGAUGCAGCGACGCCGCGUGAGGGAUGGAGGCCUUCGGGUUGUAAACCUCUUUCGCUCAUGGUCAAGCCGCAACUGUGGGUUGUGGUGAGGGUAGUGGGUAAAGAAGCGCCGGCUAACUACGUG